rnacentral:rRNA from 1 species
UAGGGAAUCUUCCGCAAUGGGCGAAAGCCUGACGGAGCAACGCCGCGUGAGUGAUGAAGGUCUUCGGAUCGUAAAACUCUGUUAUUAGGGAAGAACAAAUGUGUAAGUAACUAUGCACGUCUUGACGGUACCUAAUCAGAAAGCCACGACUAACUACGUGCCAGCAGCCGCGGUAAUACGUAGGUGGCAAGCGUUAUCCGGAAUUAUUGGGCGUAAAGCGCGCGUAGGCGGUUUUUUAAGUCUGAUGUGAAAGCCCACGGCUCAACCGUGGAGGGUCAUUGGAAACUUGAAAACUUGAGUGCAGAAGAGGAAAGUGGAAUUCCAUGUGUAGCGGUGAAAUGCGCAGAGAUAUGGAGGAACACCAGUGGCGAAGGCGACUUUCUGGUCUGUAACUGACGCUGAUGUGCGAAAGCGUGGGGAUCAAACAGG